AUCUAUCUGACGAGUCCCAAAUAGGACGAAACGCGCGUCCUGGAU
rfam:Schistosoma rodhaini strain Burundi genome assembly, scaffold: SROB_scaffold0004023